CACGUAGGGUGCAGGCGUUAAUCGGAAUUACUGGGCGUAAAGCGCGUGUAGGCGGCUCUGUAAGUCGGGUGUGAAAUCCCACGGCUCAACCGUGGAAGUGCACUCGAAACUACAGGGCUAGAGUCCUGGAGAGGAAGGUGGAAUGCUUGGUGUAGAGGUGAAAUUCGUAGAUGAUCAAGCGGAACACCGGUGGCGAAGGCGG
rnacentral:rRNA from 1 species